rnacentral:rRNA from 1 species
GUGCCAGCAGCCGCGGUAAUACAGAGGGGGCAAGCGUUGUUCGGAAUUACUGGGCGUAAAGGGCGCGUAGGCGGCCUGUUAAGUCAGACGUGAAAUCCCUCGGCUCAACCGGGGAACUGCGUCUGAUACUGGCGGGCUUGAAUUCGGGAGAGGGAUGUGGAAUUCCAGGUGUAGCGGUGAAAUGCGUAGAUAUCUGGAGGAACACCGGUGGCGAAGGCGGCAUCCUGGACCGACAUUGACGCUGAGGCGCGAAAGCCAGGGGAGCAAACGGGAUUAGAAACCCCCGUAGUCC